UACGUAGGCAGCAAGCGUUGUUCGGAGUUACUGGGCGUAAAGAGUAUGUAGGCGGUUUGGUAAGUUUGGUGUGAAAUCUCCCGGCUUAACUGGGAGGGUGCGCUAAAGACUGCCUGGCUCGAGUGUGGGAGAGGAAAGCGGAAUUCCUGGUGUAGCGGUGAAAUGCGUAGAUAUCAGGAGGAACACCUGCGGUGUAGACGGCUUUCUGGACCAUAACUGACGCUGAGAUACGAAAGCGUGGGUAGCAAACAGG
rnacentral:rRNA from 1 species